rnacentral:rRNA from 1 species
CCUACGGGGGGCAGCAGUGAGGAAUAUUGGUCAAUGGACGAGAGUCUGAACCAGCCAAGUAGCGUGAAGGAUGACUGCCCUAUGGGUUGUAAACUUCUUUUAUAUGGGAAUAAAAUGUUCCACGUGUGGGAUUUUGUAUGUACCAUAUGAAUAAGGAUCGGCUAACUCCGUGCCAGCAGCCGCGGUAAUACGGAGGAUCCGAGCGUUAUCCGGAUUUAUUGGGGUUAAAGGGAGCGUAGGUGGAUUGUUAAGUCAGUUGUGAAAGUUUGCGGCUCAACCGUAAAAUUGCAGUUGAAACUGGCAGUCUUGAGUACAGGAGAGGUGGGCGGAAUUCGUGGUGUAGCGGUGAAAUGCUUAGAUAUCACGAAGAACUCCGAUUGCGAAGGCAGUUCACUGGACUGCAACUGACACUGAGGCUCGAAAGUGUGGGUAUCAAACAGGAUUAGAUACCCUUGUAGUC